GUGGGGGAUAUUGCGCAAUGGGCGAAAGCCUGACGCAGCGACGCCGCGUGGGUGAUGAAGGCCUUCGGGUCGUAAAGCCCUGUCGAGGGGAACGAAACGGUCUCGACCCAAUACGUCGAGGCCCUGACGGUACCCCUAAAGGAAGCACCGGCUAACUCCGUGCCAGCAGCCGCGGUAAUACGGAGGGUGCAAGCGUUGUUCGGAAUCACUGGGCGUAAAGGGCGUGUAGGCGGUCCGCUAAGUCUGAUGUGAAAGCCCGGGGCUCACCCCCGGAAGGGCAUUGGAAACUGGCGGACUCGAGUCCCGGAGAGGAAGGUGGAAUUCCUGGUGUAGCGGUGAAAUGCGUAGAUAUCAGGAGGAAUACCGGUGGCGAAGGCGGCCUUCUGGACGGUGACUGACGCUGAGACGCGAAAGCGUGGGGAGCAAACAGGAUUAGAAACCCUUGUAGUCC
rnacentral:rRNA from 1 species